rnacentral:rRNA from 1 species
UACGUAGGGUGCGAGCGUUGUCCGGAAUUAUUGGGCGUAAAGGGCUCGUAGGCGGUUUGUCACGUCGGGCGUGAAAUCCACCAGCUUAACUGGUGGUCUGCGUUCGAUACGGGCAGACUAGAGGUAUGCAGGGGAGAACGGAAUUCCUGGUGUAGCGGUGAAAUGCGCAGAUAUCAGGAGGAACACCGGUGGCGAAGGCGGUUCUCUGGGCAUUACCUGACGCUGAGGAGCGAAAGUGUGGGGAGCGAACAGG